GGGCGUGUGGCGGAAUGGUAGACGCGAUAGACUCAAAAUCUAUUGAGGGCAACUUCAUGGGGGUUCAAGUCCCUUCACGCCUACCA
rnacentral:tRNA from 1 species